UUGCAAUCACAGGGAAAAUCAGAAGCCUUGCUCCAUUCGAUACUUAUGUUUAUUACACACGUGAACGCCUUGCCGUUACACACGUUGGUUCAGUAGGCCGGGUGAAAUUUGGCGGUUAUAGUGAGAGAGAGAGAGCGAAAGAAAAACUACGCCAAUCUAAAAGCCAAACCAGACAACAAACAAUUGGCGGAGGCGUGUGAACGUAAAAAUUCUUAUUUAUUGUGUAGGCCAGUGUUUUGCUUCCGGUUCGGGUAAACUUGGGGAAACGGAACUCGAUUUACCGGGCGCCCGGGACAAAGUAGUAAGUAACCUGCCAGCCGCCCGUCGACGUGACGCGAGACGUUUCAACGAGACGUAAGUAAGUAACCUGCCGGCAGGGUUUACCACAAUUAUAGCGUUUUUCGGCGUUUCAAGUUUGUUACAUGGGGUUCUCGUGCCCCGUGAAACUUCCAGAGGAAAGCAACAAGGCACUAGGUAUACGCUGACAUUGAGCUAGCAAGCAAGUACAGACCGCAACCCGUUCGGGCGGACAACUGACGAGUGCCUUCGGGAUUUGCUCCUUCAAGCCGCGUUGUUGUUCCUUCCUACAUACAUCAAUAGAUUGCGCUAGCAGCUCAACCAAUCUCGGCCCACAGGGGGCAGAUUAAGUUGAUACCGAAAUCUGGAACUGGACGAAAUGUUGCGUUUCGAAUGCAUGAUGAAAACCAAGAAGGACAAAUUGACGAGAUGGACCAUCCCCGAGGAACAAAACGAGUACGAGUGGAAUCUGAAGACGAGCCAUUCUAUGGGUUCGAAGAAAAACACAAUUCUGGCAUACAAAAUAAGGAUUCCACCGGACCUGGAACGUCAGAUCAAACGGUCACCGCAACAUUACAACUUCGAAGAUCGCAAAGAGUGAAGAAAAAGAAAAUUGAUAACAGUUUUGUAUACCACAAAUGAAUUCCAAUUGAAGAAAUUUAAAAACAGUGAAUUUUGUAAAAACUCUAUUAUUAUUGAAUUAUUGUAAUUAUUAAUUUGAACGGAAAGGUAUUGUAGUGAAUUUUUAAAUUAAAAUGAAAAUUUAUAAAACCCCUCGUUGAUCGAGUGUUUGGGCAAGUGACAUAGAUACCAAUAUUAGAAAAUGAAAACAAGUUGCAAGAGUUGAUGAAGAAAAUAAUAAAAAAAGAUCGUCCUCUUUUCCUGUGGACCUGCAACCGAACUACACGUCUUUUUUUACUCCUGAGAGAAACCCUGGAUUUAUUAGUUGUAUUUUGCGGUCAAUCAAUCCGAAUAUUUUGUACGAUUGGGUAGGGUGGUAGGAAAAACAAUCGAUGUUUGAGGCCAAUCAAUUCUGCUAU